AGUGAGAAGCACGCAAGCGCCUCUAGUGGCUGUCAAUGAGACAGCCACUAGAGGAUUAGGGGGAAGGCUUAACCCAUUAAUAAACAUAGAAGUUUCUCUGAAACUGCUAUGUUUAUUAAAAAAUGGGUUAACCCUAGCUGGACCUGGCACCCAGACCACUUCAUUAAGCUGAAGUGGUCUGGGUGCCUAGAGUGGUCCUUUAAGGAAAGAUAAAAAACAAGAACAGAAAUCUGAAAAAAACUUUCUAAUUUCUUUACGGCGGUAGAUCCUAAGCUGGACAGAGAUACAUCCUCAGUGGAAGUACCAGUAUGAAGACAACUCUGAUUAAAAAAUUAAUAGUGACCAAAAAAACAUUACUCCUGAACAUCUUCAAGAAUGUUUUGAUAUGCACAAAAGUGUGAGGGUAACAGGAGGACAUUGGUAGAGUAUCCUAUGGAGUGGAAUACCCUACUAGUUGCAGUAAACAGUAAGGGUACAGUAGAGAACCUUACGUGAAACCUUAAUGCGUGAAUAUUAAAACUUAACUUUUACUGAUAAAUUUCUAAUAUAUAAAGACUGGCGAGAGUCAACACCCAAAAACACUUGUGUGUAAAACAAAAAGUAAAUGAAUCAAAUAGAAUAAAAUCAACACUUUUCUGAGACUUGCAUAAAGUACUCCACACACGUGUGGAGACUAUUGUCUAAACUGUGUAGACAAUAAGUCGGGUACAGAGUGCCCAGUAGUAUCUGGAAGUCCCAGCCAGGUAUUUGCCAACACUUGUCUGUGAUAUGUCGCAAUUUGAUACAAAAAUUUGUAGUGGGGAUUAUUGUCUAAACUGUGCGUGGUAGCUAUAGUUAAAAGACAAAAAGUCGGGGAAAGAGUGCCAAUUUGUAUCCGGGGGUCACAGCAAGGUGUUUCCAACACUUGUCUGGGAUUAGCAGCAAGUUGAAACAAAAUAAUAGUGGGGGAUUAUUGUCUAAACUGUGCGUGAUAGCUGUAGCUAAAGACAAUGAAUGCCCACUAAUUAGUAGAAAACGAAAGAAGUCUCAACAAGUUGAGCUGUAUAAAACUGGUGAGAGUCAUCACCCAGAGUAUCUGGGAGUCGCAGCAAGGUGUUUCCAACACUUGUCUGGGAUUAGCUGCAAAUUGAAAUAAAUGCAUUGUGGGGAUUAUUGUCUAAACUGUGCGGGAUACCUUGUAGCUUAAGACAAUAAAUGCCCACUGUCACGAAUGCACCCUACUCCAAGAGUGUGUGUGAUGUAGUUGUGGUGGUGAAAGGGUUAAAGUACACUAUUUGUCUGCACUAGACCGGAAAUAAUGACAAAAUCUACCUUUUAACACCACCCACACUUAAACAUAAUAAUAUAACUAUUACUAUUUUAUCACUGCCAAGACAAUUUAUAAAUGGGGUGCCUUGGUCCCCCAGGUAAAUCAAUAAUAAAACCCACCAAAUAUUACUUAGUACAAUAUUUAAGGAAUUACAAAAAUGCUAACUAGUCUCUUCAGGUAACGUGAUUCUUAACCAGACAAAGGCAGAACUUAAUAAAUUAAUGUUUAUUAUGAGCAAAAAAUAGUCACAACAGAUAAAAACAAAAAGGAUAAAAUACAGGAGUCCUAAUUACUCACUUUGGUUUUCAAAGUACAACUUCUGCCCAGGGGGUCUCUGGCAAGGAAAGAUGGUGACUCACUUAGAAUUAGAUUCUUGGCCCCAGCAAGUACACUAGCACCCUUCAGGAUCAUUAGAGAUAUACCCUGUGGAUUACCACACCUCAGCCAGAGGUGGAGUUAAGGCGUAUCUAUAGAGAUACUAAGUGACCACCCCCUUGUGUCCAGACCCACAUCAAUUUGGUUGUAUCUUCUCUUAUGUACCCGCCACAGAAAUAAUAAUUGCAUCUAUGAAUUUAUUAUUUUCCCAUUCUAUACAUAUGUUGCAUGCCGGCCUUGGGAUCCGAUAGGAUGGACACCACAAUUCCUUCCCUCAUGGUCAAGUUAGGCCACUCAUGUUUGGACUUGGUUAGAAGAUGGCGCUUGACACAUUACAAAUAUAACAAACAUUAGGCUUUAUUAUUAUUCUGUGGGGAGGGUGGGUAAAUAUGAAUGAUUUUGUCCUUCCUUUGGAUAUGAUACUGGAACAAGGCUAAUAGCAUUUACAUAUCAAAGAGAUUAGCUCAUCCCUUACAAGGUACAUGCCAAAUGGAUGAAGAGACAUUCAGACUUUUUCCAAGUGUAGAAUCUCACACCUUGCAGAGCCUUGAUUACUUCACAUCCAUAUAGUAAAAUCCUUUUCACAUUGCUAUGCCAUUCAUACUACCCCUUCUGUCACCUGACCUCUGUGGGGGUCCCAGCUUCAAAAGAUGUAACCCCUUUUGACCUCAACAAUACCAUCUCUGUAAUUUGUGCCAUUUACUACACAAAUUACAUUAAAGGAUAAUAUUCCAUAGUAUAAUAAUAAAUUAUGCAUCCUUGCCGUGACACCCACUAAUUAAUAAAUCAAAUAGAUUAAAAUCAACACUUUUCUGAGACUUGCAUAAAGUACACCCUCGCCUAGUGUAUAAGGCACCUACAAUCUCCCUAUCUCCACCCCCACAUUUUGAAGGUAAUACUCAAGAAUGUCAGGGAUUUCUUAAUCAGAUUGAGUACCAUUUUGAAGCAUCACCUGGGUCCUUACCCAUGGAUAGAGCUAAAAUUGUGUAUUAAAUGAACCAACUGAAAGGUAAAGCCUUAGUUUGGGCCAAUCCAUUAUGGGAGAGUAAUAGGACUAUUGCCUACAAGUACCAGGAAUUCCAGGAAUUGUCAAAUUCAAAUUAAGGUUUGGACCAUUGGGAAGGGAGAACAAUGCUGCCACUGCCCUAAUGCGUAUCAAACAAGGGAACCGUUCUGUCUCAGAUUAUGCCAUAGAAUUCUGCACUCUGGCUUCUGAGGUAGACUGGACUAAUAACAGAUUAAUCACUGCAUUUGCAGAGGGAUUAUCUGAAGCUAUCCUUGAUGAAAUUGCAGCCAAAGAACUACCAGGGAGGUUAUGUGACGCAUAUCGAUAACCGACUUAGGAACAGGGAGAUAACUAGAAGCAGAAGUUUGAAUAUGUCACUGGCACCUCACUUCUCCAAUCUUGUUUUCCCUGGCCCUUCUGUGCAGUCUGAAUCUGAACCUAUGCAGUUAUGGGUUAUGAGACAUCAGAAGCAGAGAAAGUUCAGGAGAAAAGAAGGCCUUUGCUUAUACUGUGGCAAGAAAGGACCUAUAAGAAAUGCUUGUCCCAUAUGCCCGGAAAACUUGCACACGUAAGAGCCAUCAGGUGUCAUGUAUAUGUCCCCCGGUACUACCCAAAGUUGAUUUCUCCUUAGUGUUGCUGCUCAAUGCAAUAAGAUAAGUUUUACGUGUAACGACCUGAUUGACUAAGGCGCUGCUGAAAACUUUAUUGACAUGUAAUUUGCCAGUAAACACCUUAUACCCACCAAGAAUAGAACUUCACCCCUGGCCAUCGAGGCCAUUGAUGGGAGGCCACUCUCUCAGACUCUUAUUACCCAGUGUCACGAUAGCAGUGUUUGUCAAGAUCCUGUCCUUACAAGCAAGACUUUUGUUAUGUAUAUUCUGUUCUUUUAAAAACCAAGUUUCGACAUUGAUUAAUGAUUUUGUUUUACCACUAGUGGCCUCCAUUGCCUCUAGUUUGACCACUCACCUCAUCAUGCUCACCUGCUUGGACUAAUUUGGGUUCCUCCAAAAGGUAACAUCCAACUCACCACUUGGCCUUUACAUUGAAGUUGAUGAUUGCCUGAAAAGAUUUCAUAACCUGGCUCCUGAGUUAUCCUGGGGAUUUUCUUUAUUGGCUUCAUAACCUGCUAUACUCACCAACCUGCUCCAAACUUACCUGUACAACUCUUCAUUCCUGCCUUAUCUACAAACCUGCAGCAAACCAACCUGAACUCCCUAUAUUCCUUCUGAACAUCCAACUUGCUUAAAACAACACUGGACUUUAAUUUACUUUGUGGCUAUCUAUUCACUCCUACAAUGGAUUUACUGAUAUUCCAAACUAUAUUUGCGUCUAUCAAAAAGGACCUGCUACUACUAUAUAACCUCUUAUCCAAAGAGACUGAACAACUACAACCCUAUUUAAGUAUUCAUUAUAUUUCUGUCUAGUUCUGUUUAGUUAUUUCUUUAUAUCGUGUUCUGGGGCAUAUUGCCUAAAUCCUGUUUCCUAUUAUCCCUCUAUAUUGUACCUACAAUCUCUCUUAUAGGUUUAUCUUCAAUUACCUAUAACUUCUUUUAUAGAUUUACCUUAUUUCAACUUUGGUCUUGGUGUCUUAAUCCUUUAUUUCUUAGGCUAUGCAACUCCCUGUAUAUUUAGACAUUAUGUUCUGUUCACUAUCUUUCAUUCCUAUAACUACAGUUAUAGGAUAUCCUAAUCUUACAAGAAUGUCUAAGAUAAAUAAAGACCCUCAAAUCAA
rnacentral:lncRNA from 1 species